rnacentral:misc_RNA from 1 species
GUGAAUCAUCGAAUUUUUGAACGCAAAUUGCACUCUCUUCGGAGAGUAUGCCUGUUUGAGGGUCAGCCUAAAAAAAAAAAUCGACAUAGUCGCUGUUUCGCGGUUCCAUUCGUCGGAAAUUGGGUCAUUUUAAACCCUUUGGUUUUAAGCUGCUUAAAAUUUUCUUUACGAUUCCACGAACGUUUCUAAGAUUUAUUUCUUAUACGUUUAAGGUAUCCACCUUUAUUAAACGUG